UUAGGAGCAAACAUUAGCUAAAACAACAAAGAAAGGUUCUUGCUUCUUAGAUUCUCUCAUUGAUGUCCUGUUACGUCUUAUCUUAGAUUUGUUUGGAUGAGGUUGCUCUGUCAAGAAGCAACCCUACAUUUAUCUUUGAGCUUAAGUCAACAAAUGUGUUCUUUUCAGUUUGGAGAAGAAGAAGAAGAAGAAGAAUGUCACCUGGUAUGCUGACGAAGCUGUUCCGAAUACAAACCCAUCUGGAAAAUCUGCUCUGCUGAUAGAUUCUGAAGAAACAUGAUCAAGAGGGACGAAGAA